UACGGAGGGUGCAAGCGUUGUUCGGAAUUAUUGGGCGUAAAGCGCGCGCAGGCGGCCUGGAAAGUCUAUGGGUGAAAUGCCGGGGCUCAACCCCGUGCAUGCCCAGGAUACUGCCAGGCUGGAGACACGUAGAGGCAGGCGGAAUUUCGGGUGUAGCGGUGGAAUGCGUAGAUAUCCGAAAGAACACCAGUGGCGAAGGCGGCCUGCUGGGCGUGAUCUGACGCUGAGGCGCGAAAGCGUGGGGAGCAAACGGG
rnacentral:rRNA from 1 species